UACGGGGGGGGCAAGCGGUUGUUCGGAAUUACUGGGCGUAAAGGGCUCGUAGGCGGCCAACUAAGUCAGACGUGAAAUCCCCAGGCUUAACCUGGGAACUGCGUCUGAUACUGGAUGGCUUGAAUUCGGGAGAGGGAUGCAGAAUUCCAGGUGUAGCGGUGAAAUGCGUAGAUAUCUGGAGGAAUACCGGUGGCGAAGGCGGGUCUCUGGACAGUUCCUGACGCUGAGGCGCGAAAGCUAGGGGAGCAAACGGG
rnacentral:rRNA from 1 species